rnacentral:lncRNA from 1 species
GCUUCUCACUCUGACUCCAACAGGGUGAGCUUGCUAUCCUUGUGGCACAGGGCCUUUUGCAUUGUGGAUGAUGGAGCGGCUCGUAUAGUCCAUAAGUUUUGUGCGUAGCUGUGUACCCUGUCCCUGUGAGCUGGUUCUGCCCGGCACCUCGGUGACCUCGAGGAAAGAAGCUGAGAGACAGAGUCUUGCUUUGUCACCCAGGCUGGAGGGCAGUGGCACCAUCAUAGCUCACUGCAGACUCGAACUCCUGGGCUCAAGGGAUCCUCCUGCCUCGGCCUCCAAAAAUGGUGAGAUUAUGGACAUGAGACACUGCACUGGGCCUAUUGUGUAUCUUGUUGGCCUAAAAUUGAAACAUGCCUUGUGAGCGUUUACUGCAACUUCAAUGAGUGAUUAUUAUGUUGCCUUUAAUCCUGAGAGACUGUAUUACUUGUGCACUUUUUUUUUUUUUGGAUAGGGGGAAAUUAGAUUUAUUCCCUAUAUGUUUUAGAAAAUUGAAGUUUUAAAUAUCAGACUCACUA